rnacentral:rRNA from 1 species
CUCGCGUGUCGUGCCAGCAGCCGCGGUAAUACGUAGGGGGCAAGCGUUAUCCGGAUUUACUGGGUGUAAAGGGAGCGUAGACGGCGCGGCAAGUCUGAAGUGAAAGCCCGGGGCUUAACCCCGGGACUGCUUUGGAAACUGCCAUGCUGGAGUGCUGGAGAGGUAAGUGGAAUUCCUAGUGUAGCGGUGAAAUGCGUAGAUAUUAGGAGGAACACCAGUGGCGAAGGCGGCUUACUGGACAGUAACUGACGUUGAGGCUCGAAGGCGUGGGGAGCAAACAGGAUUAGAUACCCUGGUAGUCCACGCGGUAAACGAUGAAUACUAGGUGUCGGGGGAGCAAAGCUUUUCGGUGCCGGCGCAAACGCAAUAAGUAUUCCACCUGGGGAGUACGUUCGCAAGAAUGAAACUUAAAUGAAUUGACGGG